rnacentral:siRNA from 1 species
UACUGUGGCGGCAUCUCUGGG